rfam:Spinacia oleracea cultivar SynViroflay scaffold22088.con0005.1, whole genome shotgun sequence.
AUUGAGUACUUGCUUCUGCUAUAACAAUGGACAGUUAAUAACGUGUGGGUGUUGAGAUGGGCCUUUUUUGAGUUUAGGAUGCCCUUGUAUGACCCACAUACAGUC